rnacentral:lncRNA from 1 species
GCCUUAACUGCGAAAAUAAACAACUCAUUUGUCCCAUGUGAAAAGGAAUUAAAACUUCUCACUGAGUCUUAAUCUUGAGUCUGUGUUUUCUCUCUGCUUCAUAAUCUCCGCAGAACAAGCCGGCAGCAAUUCUUGAGCCUUUAGGUCCACAUCCUGAGAAAGUUCAAAGCACUUCCUUCACAUAAUGGUUUUUUUUCCUUUCCAAGCGGUCGUGCAGGAAGAGGUGAGACCCACCAAACCACAGUUUGCCUCGCUCCCUGUGAGCAAUGCUGUUGAUAUAACGACCCAGCUCAGACAGGGAAGGAUUUCUAGUGGCUGCCACUGAUUUCCUACAGGAGGGCACUGUGGAAGGAAGGAGAGGUGGUACGCAUGGGGAAAGAUCAAAGUGCUUUCAGAGAUCUGCAGUAGUAUCGCAUUCUUCUUUCGAUUACGUGAGUGCAGCUGAAGACCUGGAGCAGCAGUGAUGAGGUGCAUGCACUGCAGCUACUCCCUUCCCUAUUCUCAUAGGAAGCUCAUGCGUUGAGGGAAGAAGUUCCCAGAGCUUUCUGUGCUGGUGAAAGAGGCAGCUGUGCUAAUUCUGAUACCGAGUAUUCUCUUACAAACUGAGAUGCUGCAAAACUCCUCAGAAGAGCAGAAAAGGAAGACUUACACCUCUGUCUGACACAGUUAAAAUCUCUCCCUGUGCACUUAUCAGCUUGCAUAUCUCUGUGAAACUCUGUGCUUCAGCGAGGGCUACAUCACUAGGCAACUACUGCAAAGAAACAUGAGUUCUACAGGAUUUCAGGGAAGAAUUCUUCCUCUACUUUUGUUCACUUCUGAGUUUGUUUCUUGGCACCCUCUUCCUUAAUGUGAGGUCAGCCAGAGUACUUUCACAGUUUUUCCUGUCUGUUUUGUCGUUUGUUUCUGUUUCGCAGGCUUACAGCUCCGAAGUCUUUCCAAGAGAGAAGAGAAACCAAACUGGAAGAUGAGAGCAUUGCACAGGCACCAAAUGCUGUUUCUGUUCAACCUUUGUUUCAUCGAGAAAAGUGGGUGUCUAAAAUCAAAGCACGCAUUACUUCCCAUCACUUACUUGUAAUCUGAGACUAGUGUUUUAGUGGAGUCUGCUGCCAGACUACAGAGAAAAGGAAACUUAGUGGAUCACCAGGUUUUUCAGCCUCUGAGAAAGAUAACCAACCAAGAGGCUUCAUGAAUUUCUUGAGAAGAUAGAGGAUCUACUGAAGUUACCACUUCUUUCAGAAAACCAUGGCUGUCAAUGACUAAGGCAUGAACAAAGAAAGCUAAAUCUAUUUUAUCUUAUGUUAUAAAAUGUAAAGGAAAUGAUACUUCCAUAAUGUUUUAGGCCUUUCUGCAGAAUUUGUGAAAAUGCAGAAGAAUGGUGUUAGAUCCGGAAUAUGUAGUUUAGGUGGGAGAUUUCUUAGUAAUAAACAGCUUUGAAAAGGAAGAGAGUGAUUUAGCAGGUGUUGCCUCUGCUUCACCAUCCUUCCUGUAAUUCAGAAAUGCCAAAAGAUAGGUGAGUUUCUCAGUGCACACUGAAGGUCAACAAACCUAUCUUUACCAAGGCUGAAAUUGUUCUAGUACAGGUUAGAGGAAAGAAAACAAAUGUGAUCUGCUAAGCGUGAGACUACACCCAGAAAUCUGAGCAGUGGUUUUAUGAUUAUCCUAAGCUGUGCUUGAGGAACAGCUAACUGUAAGACUUACAUACUUACUCACAGGCAGGUGUCAGAUGAAGUAGCUGCAUGGAUGCUGGCCAUGCUGAAGUGAAUGGUGCUGAGACUUAAUGAAACAUGGUCACAGUUCCAUCUUUCUGUCAUUAGAUGCAUGUCAGUGCGUCUGACUGCUUGGGGAAAUGCUCUGCAUGCAGUAGAUGUGCUUUCCUAUGGAUACUACCCCAACUGGGAGGGGCAAGUAGUCCACAGAAGAUAUUAUUAUCCACAAUUACGGAUAGAAAGAAGUAAAGGAUGGUUAUUAAUAAGAAGCUCUCAUCUGCAAAGAAAAUUUGGUUUACCUGUGAGUAAAAGCCACUUGGAUAUAAACCUAGCUGCCACAUCACUAACUUAAGGCAGAAAUGUUACUCUAGAACUGGUAGAAAAUGAUCACUCGCAGAUUCUCAGGUACGGCUGAUGACGUUUCAUGCCCAGCAUAUUUUGUGCUCCAAAUUUCAGGUGACCAAGUGAAUAUCCUCUCAAUAUAAAGACUAAAAUCAAUGACACAAAACGUGUAUAAUUCACUAUACAAGGUUGUUAUAAUAUGCAGUCCUCUGUUUCACAGACCAAGAUUCAUAAUAGUUAGAAGCUAAGUCUCUUGGUGUUUCCAGUAUUGAUUUUUUUCCCCCCCCAUUUCUUUAAUUCUACUACAGUAAUCAUAGAAUCAUAGAAUGUCUUGAGCUGGGAGGGACCCAUGAGGAUCACUGAGUCCAACUCCUGACUCCACAUGUGACCACCCAAAAUCCAAACCCAAUGUCUGAGAAUGGCGUCCAGAAUGGUGGCAGCUCAGAGCCAUUCCCACUGCCCUGGGCAGCCUGUUCCAGGGCCCCACUGCCCUCUGGUGAAGAGCCUGUCCCUAACUCCCACCUGACCCUCCCCUGACACAGCUCCAUGCCAUUAUAGCAUGGAGAUUUCUGGAGAUGUGUGUCUUUAUGGGAAGGGAGAGAGGAGAAUAAGAUUUUGAAAUUAGUGUUCAGGCUAGGUAGUGACUUGCUGUUGUUAGGUGAUCUUCCCAUGCCCUUUUUACAUUCCUACGUGAAACUGAAAGGAUAUGUAUGAUGUUAAUACCAUUCCACUACCACUGACGCUUGCAGUUGGAAACAUUAGGCCUGAGGGCUUAGUUCAGCUAGUUCCUAAGCAUUUUCUUUUUCUUUAGGCUUUUUGUUUUUUCAUUGAAAAUAGUAGUUGUUGCUUAAAACUCACUCAAAACCAAGGGUUCUUCACCUUGCAAAUCACUAUCAGUACUGAGGGGCAUGAGGCUGGUUACAUAUCGAGCUCUGUAGCCAUCUCUGCUGUCCUCUAGGCUCUGGUGGUCCUCCUUGGGAACCCUAUUCUGUGCACCCGUUCAGAUCUGCCUCUUCUGCUUUCAAAGAACUGCUUCUGACUCACCCCUGGCACCAUCUGAGCACUUCUUCCUGUCUCUGGUUUCCAUUAUCCCUGGGAUGGCAUUUAUUGAUCAGAAAUGGGCUACAGAAGCAGAGCUGUGGAGAUCACAGAAUGGGGAACCUGCUGCAAGGAGCAGAGUGGGGAGCAGGCUGGGCAUGGAAAUGGAAACUUGCCUCUCCCCUCAACCUUCUUGUGCAUUUGGGCUGGUGGUUUGGGCUGGUGCCAAGGCUCAGCUCUAGGUCCGUUUUCCGUGUUCCUUACAAGGAUGUGGGUUGGAGGGACACCCAGGAAACAUUAGCAGUUGUCUGGAAGGAAGGUCCUAGCUGACAGCCGUGUUGUGGUGUGGGGCUUGGUGCUGUAUCUCAAAACAUCCCAUGUUACCAUCAGUCUGUGCAACCCCUCUUCUUCCAGAGGGUGGAAGAAGCGGUACCUACAAUUCAGUCACAGCAGGCCCUAAGGGGAAUGACUCAGGAGAACCAAGGAACAAACACCACGUACACCAUAUUUCUUUGGGUUUUGGGCAGACUCUUACCAUUUUGUAGAAUCAUAGAAUCAUGGAGUGGCCUGGAUUGAAAAGGACCAUAAUGAUCAUCUAGUUUCAACCCCCCUGCCAUGGGUGGGGUCACCAACUGCCAGACCAGGCUACCCAGAGCCACAUCCAGCCUGCACACUCUUAUAGGGGGGAAACAGCAGGAAACCAAGCGAUGCAAGGCAAUGCCUUUUUCACAGAGGUGCAGACUUCAGUUCUCACAUAACUAUAGCUGUCACUCUUCUUUCUGCGCUCACCUCCCUGCCUGCUUACCUUAUGAUGCAAAAUGUGCCUCGGGAUAUUUGUGGUGAUGUUGGUGAAAAUAUUACAAAAACAGAUAAUUGGAGAAUCAAGGCUUGGCAAACUGUUGUUCGAUCUGGCAAUAUAGCAAAGUGUGUCGUUUGCCAAGAGCAGUCUCAUCUGAUAGACUUUUGGGACCAAGAGCUGGCAAAUGAGUAAGCCUCACAUGAUUACCUUUAUUUUUGCUUUAUGAGCAAACAAAAUUCAGAGGUGGAGGGUAUAAACAAAGAAAGUGAAACUGGGAGAGUUCAUGUGUUUACGGCCUAAGAGCCCACACCUUCCACUGAGGCUUGUAAGAGGCUUAUGUGCUGUGCACAUAAGGUUACUUUGGGAGGGAGGAACUGGGUAGCACAGCUGCAUCUGCCUCCCAUACAGAAAGAAUGCUGCUGGAUCGUGAUGCAGCAUAGUAAUGUGCAUUAACAGACCUUCAGCUCCACAGACUUUACUCUCUUCCUUCCCUGUGGAUGGGUGUGUCUAACUGACAGCCGCCCAGCUUUGUAUUCUUUGGGCUUCCUGUAUAUGACUGUACGUGCAACAUAUUCAGUACAAAAAUAGCAAAAGAGAAUCAAGAAGUAGUAAAUCACCUGGUAAAAGCUGGAGGUCAUCAGACCAUGUCUUACAGAAGGUGCACAGGCUUUGUCCCCCACAAAGCAGGUCCCAGCUUGUUUUGUUUUCUGCAGCGUACAAAGGCCAUCUACUGGGCCUUAACACAACUGCUGUUAGGUGUGAUGUCUUGUGUAACAUCACUGAGCAUGGCACUGGGUGAUUGGGAUGAAUGUGCAAGUCCUUAAUUGAAAUUACUCAAUCACAGAAUCAUUAAGGUUGGAAAAGACCGCUAAGAUCAUCUUGUCCAACUGUCAACCCAUUGCCACCACGCCCACUAGCUGUGGUACACAGACCUUCUAUCCACUGAGCAGUUUAACUGCACUGGCAGAAAUAAAAACUUUUCUGUUUCUUUCAGAAGACUACAAAAACUGGUGCUGCACUUGACCUGAUUGGAUUAUUUGUAACUUAAGUGGCAGGUGUUGCGCCUUAAAUGGCAGUUUCAGUCAGCACCUUUUGUUUCCCUCCUUCAAAAGACAUAGACUUUCAGUGGUUUU